rnacentral:rRNA from 1 species
GAUGAACGCUAGCGGCAGGCCUAACACAUGCAAGUCGAGGGGUAGAGGAAGCUUGCUUCCUUGAGACCGGCGCACGGGUGCGUAACGCGUAUGCAAUCUACCUUUUACAGAGGGAUAGCCCAGAGAAAUUUGGAUUAAUACCUCAUAGUAUUUUCGACUGGCAUCAUUUGAUUAUUAAAGUUCCAACGGUAAAAGAUGAGCAUGCGUCCUAUUAGCUAGAUGGUAAGGUAACGGCUUACCAUGGCAACGAUAGGUAGGGGUCCUGAGAGGGAGAUCCCCCACACUGGUACUGAGACACGGACCAGACUCCUACGGGAGGCAGCAGUGAGGAAUAUUGGACAAUGGGCGCAAGCCUGAUCCAGCCAUGCCGCGUGCAGGAAGACGCAUCUAUGGUGUGUAAACUGCUUUUGUACGGGAAGAAACACUCCCUCGUGAGGGAGCUUGACGGUACCGUAAGAAUAAGGAUCGGCUAACUCCGUGCCAGCCGCCGCGGUAAGAC